rnacentral:rRNA from 1 species
AAAUUGAAGAGUUUGAUCAUGGCUCAGAUUGAACGCUGGCGGCAGGCUUAACACAUGCAAGUCGAACGGUAACAUGGGUGCUUGCACCUGAUGACGAGUGGCGGACGGGUGAGUAAAGUAUGGGGAUCUGCCGAAUGGUGGGGGACAACAGUUGGAAACGACUGCUAAUACCGCAUAAAGUCGCGAGACCAAAGGGGGUGCUUAAGUUUACUUAGGUGCACUUGCCAUUUGAUGAACCCAUAUGGGAUUAGCUAGUUGGUGAGGUAAUGGCUUACCAAGGCGACGAUCUCUAGCUGGUCUGAGAGGAUGACCAGCCACACUGGAACUGAGACACGGUCCAGACUCCUACGGGAGGCAGCAGUGGGGAAUAUUGCACAAUGGGGGAAACCCUGAUGCAGCCAUGCCGCGUGUAUGAAGAAGGCCUUCGGGUUGUAAAGUACUUUCGGUGGUGAGGAAGUUGUGUGUAUGAAAAGUGCAUAUAAUUGACGUUAGCCACAGAAGAAGCACCGGCUAACUCCGUGCCAGCAGCCGCGGUAAUACGGAGGGUGCGAGCGUUAAUCGGAAUGACUGGGCGUAAAGGGCAUGUAGGCGGAUGAUUAAGUUAGGUGUGAAAGCCCCGGGCUCAACCUGGGAAUAGCAUUUAAAACUGGUCGUCUGGAGUACUGUAGAGGGAGGUAGAAUUCCACGUGUAGCGGUGAAAUGCGUAGAGAUGUGGAGGAAUACCGGUGGCGAAGGCGGCCUUCUGGACAGAUACUGACGCUGAGAUGCGAAAGCGUGGGGAGCAAACAGGAUUAGAUACCCUGGUAGUCCACGCUGUAAACGAUGUCGAUUUGGAGUUUGUUGCCCUGAGUGAUGGGCUCCGAAGCUAACGCGAUAAAUCGACCGCCUGGGGAGUACGGCCGCAAGGUUAAAACUCAAAUGAAUUGACGGGGGCCCGCACAAGCGGUGGAGCAUGUGGUUUAAUUCGAUGCAACGCGAAGAACCUUACCUGGUCUUGACAUCCACAGAAUCUGGCAGAGAUGCUGGAGUGCCUUCGGGAACUGUGAGACAGGUGCUGCAUGGCUGUCGUCAGCUCGUGUUGUGAAAUGUUGGGUUAAGUCCCGCAACGAGCGCAACCCUUAUCCUUUGUUGCCAGCGAUUAGGUCGGGAACUCAAAGGAGACUGCCGUUGAUAAAGCGGAGGAAGGUGGGGACGACGUCAAGUCAUCAUGGCCCUUACGACCAGGGCUACACACGUGCUACAAUGGCGUAUACAAAGGGAAGCGAAGGUGCGAGCUGGAGCGGACCUCCUAAAGUACGUCUAAGUCCGGAUUGGAGUCUGCAACUCGACUCCAUGAAGUCGGAAUCGCUAGUAAUCGUGAAUCAGAAUGUCACGGUGAAUACGUUCCCGGGCCUUGUACACACCGCCCGUCACACCAUGGGAGUGGGUUGCACCAGAAGUAGAUAGCUUAACCUUCGGGAGGGCGUUUACCACGGUGUGAUUCAUGACUGGGGUGAAGUCGUAACAAGGUAACCGUAGGGGAACCUGCGGUUGGAUCACCUCCUUA